rnacentral:rRNA from 1 species
GAUUAACGCUGGCGGCGUGCAUAACACAUGCAAGUCGAACGAUGAAACUUAGUAGACUUCUUCGGAAGACAACUAACGGGUUUAUUGCCGAAGGGUUGAUUACCCCUUGUGUACCUUUCCUACAACAUGGGGUUACCCUUUGAAACCAAGAAUUAUACCCUUUAAAACCCAUAAAGGCACUUCCUAGAUUGUUCAAAGUGAUAGCGGUGUAGGAUGGCCUUGCGUCUGAUUAGCUAGUUGGUGAGAUAAAAGCUCACCAAGGCAACGAUCAGUAGCCGGCUUGAGAGAGUGUACGGCCACAUUGGGACUGAGACACGGCCCAGACUCCUACGGGAGGCAGCAGUGGGGAAUUUUGCAAAAUGGGGGAAAACCUGAUGCAGCGACGCCGCGUGAUUUAGAAGGCCUUCGGGUUGUAAAAAUCUUUUGUAUAGGAAGAAAAUGACAGUACUAUACGAAUAAGGUCCGGCUAAUUACGUG